rnacentral:rRNA from 1 species
ACCCAAUAGAUACCCUGGUAGUCCACGCCCUAAACGAUGGAUACUAGGCGUAAGAGGUAUCGACCCCUCUUGUGCCGCAGCUAAACGCAUUAAGUAUCCCGCCUGGGGAGUACGGCCGCAAGGUUGAAACUCAAAUGAAUUGACGGGGACCCGCACAAGCGGUGGAGCAUGUGGAUUAAUUCGAUACUAACCGAAGAACCUUACCCAGGUUUGACAUCGAUUGUAAGCUCUAGAGAUAGGGCCCUCCCCCACAAGGGGACAUGAAGACACUUGUUGCAUGGCUGUCGUCAGCUCGUGCCGUGAGGUGUACGGUUAAGUCCGCCAACGAGCGCAACCCUCGUCCUGUGUUACCAGCGAUUAAACGUCGGGAACUCACAGGAGACCGCCGGUGUAAGCCGGAGGAAGGUGAGGAUGACGUCAAGUCAGCAUGGCAGUUACGCCUGGGGCUUCACACAUGCUACAAUGGGCGAAA